rnacentral:rRNA from 1 species
AACGAACGCUGGCGGCAGGCCUAACACAUGCAAGUCGAACGAACCUUUCGGGGUCAGUGGCGGACGGGUGCGUAACGCGUGGGAAUCUGCCCUUCUCUUCGGAAUAGUCCUCGGAAACUGGUGGUAAUACCGUAUACUCUCUUUGGGGGAAAGAUUUAUCGGCUUAGGAUUAGCCCGCGUUGGAUUAGGUAGUUGGUAGGGUAAAAGCCUACCAAGCCGACGAUCCAUAGCUGGUCUGAGAGGAUGAUCAGCCACACUGGGACUGAGACACGGCCCAGACUCCUACGGGAGGCAGCAGUGGGGAAUAUUAGACAAUGGGGGAAAGCCUGAUCCAGCAAUGCCGCGUGAGUGAUGAAGGCCUUAGGGUUGUAAAGCUCUUUUAGCCGGGAAGAUAAUGACGGUACCAGGAGAAGAAGCUCCGGCUAACUCCGUG